AGGGUUGCUGGAGGUAUCAGAAGUGCGAAUGCUGACAUAAGUAACGAUAAAGCGGGUGAAAAGCCCGCUCGCCGGAAGACCAAGGGUUCCUGUCCAACGUUAAUCGGGGCAGGGUGAGUCGACCCCUAAGGCGAGGCCGAAAGGCGUAGUCGAUGGGAAACGGGUUAAUAUUCCCGUACUUGGUGUUACUGCGAAGGGGGGACGGAGAAGGCUAUGUUGGCCGGGCGACGGUUGUCCCGGUUUAAGCGUAUAGGUGUGUGUUCCAGGUAAAUCCGGUUCACUUUAACACUGAGGCGUGAUGACGAGGCGCUACGGUGCUGAAGCAACAAAUGCCCUGCUUCCAGGAAAAGCCUCUAAGCAUCAGGUAACAUCAAAUCGUACCCCAAACCGACACAGGUGGUCAGGUAGAGAAUACCAAGGCGCUUGAGAGAACUCGGGUGAAGGAACUAGGCAAAAUGGUGCCGUAACUUCGGGAGAAGGCACGCUGACAUGUAGGUGAAGUGAUUUACUCACGGAGCUGAAGUCAGUCGAAGAUACCAGCUGGCUGCAACUGUUUAU
rnacentral:rRNA from 1 species